GGGUUGUGAGGUUAAGCGACUAAGCGUACACGGUGGAUGCCCUGGCAGUCAGAGGCGAUGAAGGACGUGCUAAUCUGCGAUAAGCGUCGGUGAGGUGAUAUGAACCGUUAUAACCGGCGAUUUCCGAAUGGGGAAACCCAGUGUGUUUCGACACACUAUCAUUAACUGAAUCCAUAGGUUAAUGAGGCGAACCGGGGGAACUGAAACAUCUAAGUACCCCGAGGAAAAGAAAUCAACCGAGAUUCCCCCAGUAGCGGCGAGCGAACGGGGAGCAGCCCAGAGCCUGAAUCAGUGUGUGUGUUAGUGGAAGCGUCUGGAAAGGCGCGCGAUACAGGGUGACAGCCCCGUACACAAAAAUGCACAUGCUGUGAGCUCGAUGAGUAGGGCGGGACACGUGGUAUCCUGUCUGAAUAUGGGGGGACCAUCCUCCAAGGCUAAAUACUCCUGACUGACCGAUAGUGAACCAGUACCGUGAGGGAAAGGCGAAAAGAACCCCGGCGAGGGGAGUGAAAAAGAACCUGAAACCGUGUACGUACAAGCAGUGGGAGCCUCUUUAUGGGGUGACUGCGUACCUUUUGUAUAAUGGGUCAGCGACUUAUAUUCUGUAGCAAGGUUAACCGAAUAGGGGAGCCGUAGGGAAACCGAGUCUUAACUGGGCGUUAAGUUGCAGGGUAUAGACCCGAAACCCGGUGAUCUAGCCAUGGGCAGGUUGAAGGGUGGGUAACACUAACUGGAGGACCGAACCGACUAAUGUUGAAAAAUUAGCGGAUGACUUGUGGCUGGGGGUGAAAGGCCAAUCAAACCGGGAGAUAGCUGGUUCUCCCCGAAAGCUAUUUAGGUAGCGCCUCGUGAAUUCAUCUCCGGGGGUAGAGCACUGUUUCGGCAAGGGGGUCAUCCCGACUUACCAACCCGAUGCAAACUGCGAAUACCGGAGAAUGUUAUCACGGGAGACACACGGCGGGUGCUAACGUCCGUCGUGAAGAGGGAAACAACCCAGACCGCCAGCUAAGGUCCCAAAGUCAUGGUUAAGUGGGAAACGAUGUGGGAAGGCCCAGACAGCCAGGAUGUUGGCUUAGAAGCAGCCAUCAUUUAAAGAAAGCGUAAUAGCUCACUGGUCGAGUCGGCCUGCGCGGAAGAUGUAACGGGGCUAAACCAUGCACCGAAGCUGCGGCAGCGACGCUUAUGCGUUGUUGGGUAGGGGAGCGUUCUGUAAGCCUGCGAAGGUGUGCUGUGAGGUAUGCUGGAGGUAUCAGAAGUGCGAAUGCUGACAUAAGUAACGAUAAAGCGGGUGAAAAGCCCGCUCGCCGGAAGACCAAGGGUUCCUGUCCAACGUUAAUCGGGGCAGGGUGAGUCGACCCCUAAGGCGAGGCCGAAAGGCGUAGUCGAUGGGAAACAGGUUAAUAUUCCUGUACUUGGUGUUACUGCGAAGGGGGGACGGAGAAGGCUAUGUUGGCCGGGCGACGGUUGUCCCGGUUUAAGCGUGUAGGCUGAUUUUCCAGGCAAAUCCGGAAAAUCAAGGCUGAGGCGUGAUGACGAGGCACUACGGUGCUGAAGCAACAAAUGCCCUGCUUCCAGGAAAAGCCUCUAAGCAUCAGGUAACAUCAAAUCGUACCCCAAACCGACACAGGUGGUCAGGUAGAGAAUACCAAGGCGCUUGAGAGAACUCGGGUGAAGGAACUAGGCAAAAUGGUACCGUAACUUCGGGAGAAGGCACGCUGAUAUGUAGGUGAAGCGACUUGCUCGUGGAGCUGAAAUCAGUCGAAGAUACCAGCUGGCUGCAACUGUUUAUUAAAAACACAGCACUGUGCAAACACGAAAGUGGACGUAUACGGUGUGACGCCUGCCCGGUGCCGGAAGGUUAAUUGAUGGGGUUAGCGGUAACGCGAAGCUCUUGAUCGAAGCCCCGGUAAACGGCGGCCGUAACUAUAACGGUCCUAAGGUAGCGAAAUUCCUUGUCGGGUAAGUUCCGACCUGCACGAAUGG
rnacentral:rRNA from 1 species